GACGAACGCUGGCGGCGUGCUUAACACAUGCAAGUCGAACGGAAAGGCCCUGCUUUUGUGGGGUGCUCGAGUGGCGAACGGGUGAGUAACACGUGAGUAACCUGCCCUUGACUUUGGGAUAACUUCAGGAAACUGGGGCUAAUACCGGAUAGGAGCUCCUGCUGCAUGGUGGGGGUUGGAAAGUUUCGGCGGUUGGGGAUGGACUCGCGGCUUAUCAGCCUGUUGGUGGGGUAGUGGCUUACCAAGGCUUUGACGGGUAGCCGGCCUGAGAGGGUGACCGGCCACAUUGGGACUGAGAUACGGCCCAGACUCCUACGGGAGGCAGCAGUGGAGAAUAUUGCACAAUGGGCGGAAGCCUGAUGCAGCAACGCCGCGUGCGGGAUGACGGCCUUCGGGUUGUAAACCGCUUUCGCCUGUGACGAAGCGUGAGUGACGAUAAUGGGUAAAGAAGCACCGGCUAACUACGUG
rnacentral:rRNA from 1 species